rnacentral:misc_RNA from 1 species
ACGUUACAAAUAACGUCAGAACUUAGUUCUGAGAACAAAUACUCCUUCAUUACACUUUUCUUAUAUGACUCUAGUUCAAAUACUGUAAACGUACUAUAUUUGGCUGUGUAUUCUAUUUAGCGCCUUUGGCAGAACGAUACUUUUGCUAAAUCAAGUACAUCGCUAAAUGCCAUGCAUAAACAUAACAAUAGUCACAUUUAGGAAAACGCUAAUUCAAAUCCACGCCAACUUGUUCAAAAACUAAUUUCCGCUAAAUAUCGUACAAGCAAAAUAAAAUACGUUUACAGUACUCAGUAACUUCAAGUUGAUAUAGUAUAAUAUGGAAUUUUAUGAUCAUAGAACAUUGAUUUUAUCUUUUAAGAUUUGUUCCGAUGUACAGAAAAUAUUUACAUACGGUGCUUAUGCAAUAAAAUUCUAUUUUUGC